GGAAGGAGAUUCUUCUCUGGAAACUCUCAGCACUCAGGGCCUUUGUGACUGUGGAGCGCGUCUCCGAGGAGGGGCAAGUUUGCGUAGUGGGCAGGUCUGCCUGGUGUCGUGGGUCCGAGCGGGUGGACUUCAGUGUACAUCAAGGCCAUUUUAAGCUCUAUUUUUAACUCAUUGCCCUGAGGAAAUAGAAACCAACGACUUGCAGCGUUUGCACCCCCAGUACUUCUCCGUCAAUAGCCGUGGAUUUAGCUGUGUUCAUCCAACUGCUGUCCUGGGAUCCAAGCCAAAUGUUCAAGGUUGGAAUAAGGUGACUGACCCCCCCCAGAGUCUCCAACUCAGCCACAGCGAGGCAACCUGCUCCCGUCCCUCUGCUCAGAACAGAAUGAUAGGAGACAAUGUUUAAAAACCUGAUUUUUCCAAGCAAAAUUUUAAGUUUGGAACUUGAGGAGGUGGGAAGCCAGCUUGGACGGCACCUGGCAGAAGUACCUACAGCUGAGUUGCUGGUGUCCGUGGCCGACAGCAUGCCCACUGGCUUCAGGCACAGGAAGGGAUGUGAAGCUGAGAGCAGCAGGCCGCCAACCCUGGUGCCCGCAUCCUGAGCUGGCCCUGUGGCCUGGCUGAGCAGCUGCGCCUCAGGGUGCAGGGUCUGGCUAGGUGACGCUCCUCACUAUCUGGGGUUCUUCUGCUGGGAUCCUGGGUCAGCACCUUGGCCUUAGAGGGCUACCAAGUGGCUCCCGUGUCCCCUUCUCUGGGCUGGGGUCCCUGCAGGACCUCUGCCCUGCACACUGGGGGUGCCUCUCUGGGUGGGUCCCAGAGCCCCCUCCCUCGAGGGAUUCUGAAAGCCCCCUGACCCUGCCUGUCCACAGCAUGUGGAGUGCCCUUUGGCACAGAGUGUGCCACUUUAUCUGUGCUGGGGUAAUAAUAGGACAGAGAUCAUGCCGGGGCACUGGAUGGGGCCUGAUUAUCUCUGGACAGGGGCAGCUGGUUAAUUUAAAUGGUCAUGAAGGGCUUUGUCUGACAGUGCUGGCCCACAUUACAGAACGCAGAGGGUGCC
rnacentral:lncRNA from 1 species